GCGGACCUACGGGGCCGCGCACACUUUCAGACCUUGAAAUAUUCAAGGCUGAGCAUGAAACGGAAGACAGAAA
rfam:Rhodobacterales bacterium HTCC2150 1101159006523, whole genome shotgun sequence.